rnacentral:rRNA from 1 species
AUGAGUAUCAUAUGUUGGAAUUAUCGCGGUUUGGGCAACCCCGCGACAGUUCGAGAGGUUCGCGAGUUAGCGACCAAAUUUCCCCCGGCCGUGUUGUGUUUAGUGGAGACUCAAUUGCAAAGUGCACGUGCUGAAGUUUUAGCUCUUACUUUUGGUUACAAUAAAUCCUUUUCAGUUAGCAGUAGCCGUAGAAGUGGGGGCCUUGUAAUUUAUUGGAAUGAUGAAAUAAAACUUAAAGUUUCUGGUUAUUCGAGAUAUCACAUUGAUGCAAAGAUUUCGGACCUUGGACCUGUUCCUUGGAGGCUCUCUUGCAUAUAUGGCAAAGCACAAGUUCCUGAAAGAUAUAAAACAUGGGAUACACUGCACUUGGCAGCGACGACGGGUGAUCCGUGGGUUGUCAUAGGUGAUUUCAAUGAGCUUCUCCAUCAUUCAGAGUAUGAAGGGGUCGGCCAGAGGAGCCAGGCCCAGCUAGAUGAUUUCAGAGAUGCGCUUGAUGUGUGCGGUAGGCUGAGGAAACAAUCCAUUUGCGCAUUCACGACUGAGAAGGAGAGCUGA